CUGAAUUUCAGCUGAAUUGAUAGAACAUGUUAUAUGUCUAUUAUGAAAUAUUGACUAGUCCAGAUAGCCAAUUUGCAUUUUAGUGUGCAUAAUCUACAUGUUUUGUGUGACAAUAACUACAAUGUUAAUUUGUUAAUCUUUUAGAUAUAAAAGGGCAAACAAUACAGCUGGAUAAAGCAUCCUAAAUCUGCACCUCGUAAAGCUAUGACAAUGAGAGAAAUGUAUCCACCCAGGCAAUCAGAAUAUAGAGUGCAACCCGGAAGGUGCGCAGCAGCUCAAAGAGAGCCAUGGUUAUUGGCAUCAAGUUCUCCAUCAGCUUUACAUCACAGGCACCACUUGUGAUUUCAUAGUUUGAACACCAAUGAACAUGGAAGUGAUUCUCAUCCUUCGAGAUGAAUUAUGGGAAUUAUACUUGGCAUACAUGAUUGAGCCUUUGUGCCCUCUCUGCAAUAACAAACUAGACAAACUUGUGAAAAUUCAAAUGUCUUCCAUUAGUUUUAUUUUGUUUUUGCUACAAUUGAUCAGUGUAAAGAUGUGCAUGAAUCAUCAUUGUAACAAUUUCUUUGACUAUUAACCUUAAAUAAAUGUUCACUUUAUCA